rnacentral:rRNA from 1 species
GUGGUAAUUCUAGAGCUAAUACAUGCUAAAAACCCCGACUUCGGAAGGGGUGUAUUUAUUAGAUAAAAAACCAAUGCCCUUCGGGGCUCCUUGGUGAUUCAUAAUAACUUAACGAAUCGCAUGGCCUUGCGCCGGCGAUGGUUCAUUCAAAUUUCUGCCCUAUCAACUUUCGAUUGUAGGAUAGAGGCCUACAAUGGUCUUAACGGGUAACGGGGAAUUAGGGUUCUAUUCCGGAGAGGGAGCCUGAGAAACGGCUACCACAUCCAAGGAAGGCAGCAGGCGCGCAAAUUACCCAAUCCCGAUACGGGGAGGUAGUGACAAUAAAUACUGAUACGGGGCUCUUUCGGGUCUCGUAAUUGGAAUGAGUACAAUCUAAAUCCCUUAACGAGGAACAAUUGGAGGGCAAGUCUGGUGCCAGCAGCCGCGGUAAUUCCAGCUCCAAUAGCGUAUAUUAAAGUUGUUGCCGUUAAAAAGCUCGUAGUUGAACCUUGGCCCUGGCUGGUCUGUCCUCCUAAUCGAGCGCACGGAUUCGGUCGGGGCUUUCCUUCUGGGGAGCCCCAUGCCCUUCACUGGGUGUGGCGGGGAACCAGGACUUUUACCUUGAAAAAAUUAGAGUGUUCAAAGCAGGCCUUUGCUCGAAUACAUUAGCAUGGAAUAAUAGAAUAGGACAUCGGUUCUAUUUUGUUGGUUUCUAGGACCGCUGUAAUGAUUAAUAGGGACAGUCGGGGGCGUCAGUAUUCAAUUGUCAGAGGUGAAAUUCUUGGAUUUAUUGAAGACUAACUACUGCGAAAGCAUUCGCCAAGGAUGUUUUCAUUAAUCAGUGAACGAAAGUUAGGGGAUCGAAGACGAUCAGAUACCGUCGUAGUCUUAACCAUAAACUAUGCCGACUAGGGAUCGGACGGUGGUUUUUUUAU